rnacentral:lncRNA from 1 species
AGAAGAGAGCGAGAGAAGACCCAGCUGGAGAACCUGGAGGGUCCCUUUGCUGCCGGCUUCUGCAUUAGUCAGCUUUCCCACCGCCAGAACACAACACCCAGCGCUGCAAGUGAAAGGAGGAGAGGUUUACUUCCUGGAAGGCAGAGCAGAGGACCCGCACCAGACAGGAAAGAGCAAGAUGCCAGACAACGACCUCUGACACACCAGGAAGUGUACUUUACUCAUCCGCUCAGUGGCUCCCAAACUAGUCAAGUUGACAUAAGUAGCUUAACCAGCAUAGGCUCAGACUGGGCUGCUCACAAUCGCAGGAGGCCAGCUUGGUGCGUUCCCUGUGGUGAGACAUUAUCUCAGAGAUGAUCCCUUGGAAAAAAAAUCACCUAUGGACUCUGCUUAGUCGGCAUUUACAGCAUCUGGGAGAUGGCAAGGAGUGUCUGGGCCACAAGAACAUCCACUGUACACCUUAAAGAAGUGGCCUGUUCAACAAAAAUCAGAAGUUUGUAUUAUAACUGGACUGCCAGAAAUAAUACAGCUGAUGAGUCAGAAGACUAAUUUGGGGCUAAGCUCUGCCAUUAACUGGAGAACCACAUCGACCACUUUAUGUCUCUGCUUCUAAGUCUCUAUAAGUAAAAAUGAAAGUACAACA